CGGUGUAACAUAAAAUGCACACAAUAUUAAAACCGUUACUAAAUAAAUAAAUAUAUAUAUAUAUUUAUGUAUAUUAUAUAUUAUAAUAUUGUCUAUAUUGCCCGAUUGGUCUAUAUUUAUAUAUGAUUCGAAAUGUCUGCAGUACAAUUUGCUGUGCAUAUAAAUUUCUUCUGUAGUUUAUUGAACACAAUUCAGUGUUGUACAAAUGACCGGCAGAGCUGAUAGCUGACGGAAUCGGUAAGUACAAAUGUCCGGCGGUAUUGAUAUUAAAACGGCGGAAUCGAUAAAACCCCGUCUGAGACAUUUAUCGAUCCCCGUUUCUUUGAAUUAUCUCUCGUUCGUCCUAUUCCAGUUCUGAGUCGGUUUAAUGUAUUGUAAAUCAGUCAUGCUUGAUUAUGACUCAAUGGAAGCUUGACACACCCCUGGAGGUAUCGGUUAUCUGAUUUCUUUGUCUGGUCAGUAGUCUUUCUUUCAAUACUUCGAGGGAUGUUAAUAGUGCAAAAUUCAACUAACGCGUUUUUUCUAAACACAGAACAUCGAUCUAUACAGAGUGAUCAACAUAACGUAAGACACUCAUUAUUUCGGAAAGUU